ACCACUUAAAAUCCCACUGGUAAGGUCUUGCUGAUCUGGUCUUUAAGAUGAAGCCGAUGACACAAUGGAUUUGUGCUAGAUCUUCAGCUCAAGAGGGAGGCUGGAAAUCAAAAUUGAUCCACUUGUCUGUGUCCUCAACUCAUGUACGUUCAGGCUGUCUGCAGAGGUCCUUCAACAAGAUGGAGUGCGUGAAGAAUGUAUUGAGGAAGAUCUGGCACCCCCCCCUCCAUACUCUUUGUCUAACAAAGACUGAAGAAAAUCACCAUAUCAGUACGAAUGAGAAGGGUACUGAGACAUCUUGGAGACAACAGGACUGCUACUGACUGACACCAGAUAACGCACGAAUUAACAAGUAAUUAACAAAUGUAAACCUUUUGAUAUGAUUGUGAACCUGGAG
ensembl:lncRNA